GCCUGAAGCCGGUAGCACUAGGGCAGCUCGGCUCUUAAACAGAGCUGAAGAGUCAGGGAGCAGCAGCAGUCGCCAGAGCCUGCUCUAAGACUUCUCUUGUUUCAGGUGGAUUACCCUGAGUGAGACACCGAAUUGGAGUGAUGUGGAACCUUGUAUCAAGUACCUGACCGAUAAGGGGAUGCAAAUUGAUGACGUGAAGUGUUUUGAUCAGUUCAGCAACCUGAAGAAGUUUACAGAAAGUUGCAACAGUGAUGAAGAGUUCAGUAAUUUGCUAGCACACCAGAAGUGGACCAAAUAUUUUGAGAAAUCCAAAAACAUUGAGUGUCAUUCAGAACUGUUAAAGAUUGCACAGUUUUUCUUUGCUAUUCCUUCUCACAAUGCAAAUGUAGAGCGAAUUUUUUCACUGAUGCAAAGCCAGUGGACAAAGGAAAGGACCAACUUGAAUGUUGAGUCGUUGAAAGGAAUUCUACUUGUACAGUACAACUUCAGACAAACUUCUUGAAAAGACUUUCAUGCCUUCUUAAAGAGCAAUCAACCACUGCUGAGAAAAAUGCGAUCUGCAGAGAAGUAUGCGUGGGCACAUGAGGAGAAAGAAAACUGAAGAACUGGUGAAAGGAAAGGACUCACUACAUAUAAAGAAUUACGUUUUAGAAUUAAAGAAUUAAAUAGCUCAAAAUGUCCGGGAUUUUACCCGGCAGGGAGGAGAACUGGGUGCUCCAAGGCAUCUGGGGAGCUGGGAAACAGAACAGUGUGAGCUGCGUGUCCUGACCGCUCCCAAAAACGGAGCGCUGGGGCAGAUCCUCCACUGAGCAGCUUCAUUAAAGUCAUGGGAGUCUAUA